rnacentral:rRNA from 1 species
UUCCGGUUGAUCCUGCCGGACCCUGACUGCUAUCGGAUUGAUACUAAGCCAUGCGAGUCAUUGUAGCAAUACAAGGCAGACGGCUCAGUAACGCGUAGUCGACCUACCCUAUGGACGGGAAUAACCUCGGGAAACUGAGUAUAAUGCCCGAUAGAACAUUAUACCUGGAAUGGUUUGUGUUCCAAAUGAUUUAUCGCCGUAGGAUGGGACUGCGGCCUAUCAGUUUGUUGGUGAGGUAAUGGCCCACCAAGACUAUUACAGGUACGGGCUCUGAGAGGAGUGGCCCGGAGAUGGGUACUGAGACACGGACCCAGGCCCUAUGGGGCGCAGCAGGCGAGAAAACUUUGCAAUGUGCGAAAGCACGACAAGGUUAAUCCGAGUGGUUUGUGCUAAACGAACCUUUUGUCAGUCCUAGAAACACUAACGAAUAAGGGGUGGGCAAGUUCUGGUGUCAGCCGCCGCGGUAAAACCAGCACCUCAAGUGGUCAGGAUGAUUAUUGGGCCUAAAGCAUCCGUAGCCGGCUCUGUAAGUUUUCGGUUAAAUCUGUACGCUUAACGUACAGGCUGCCGGGAAUACUGCAGAGCUAGGGAGUGGGAGAGGUAGACGGUACUCGGGAGGAAGGGGUAAAAUCCUUUGAUCUUUCGAUGACCACCUGUGGCGAAGGCGGUCUACCAGAACACGUCCGACGGUGAGGGAUGAAAGCUGGGGGAGCAAACCGGAUUAGAUACCCGGGUAGUCCCAGCUGUAAACUAUGCAAACUCAGUGAUGCAUUGGCUUGUGGCCAAUGCAGUGCUGCAGGGAAGCCGUUAAGUUUGCCGCCUGGGAAGUACGUACGCAAGUAUGAAACUUAAAGGAAUUGGCGGGGG